UACCUUGUUCCUCAAACUGAUUCGGCUCAAAAAUAUCUAGUGGAAUAGUGGGUUCGGGCGAUUCGAUCGCUUGAGAUGAGGAAUCUAGCUGAGCCUUCUUCCUUCGCUCCUGCUGUUCCGCGCUCUGACUCGAGAGAGGUCUCUGCCCCAUGUGCCUUGUCCACACCAUUUCUCUCAAAUCUACCAAGUAUCAAGGAUUGAUUGGGAGAUAAAGGGC
rnacentral:lncRNA from 1 species